rnacentral:rRNA from 1 species
AGUGAACGCUGGCGGUAGGCCUAACACAUGCCAGUCGAACGGCAGCACAGUAAGAGCUUGCUCUUACGGGUGGCGAGUGGCGGACGGGUGAGGAAUACAUCGGAAUCUACUUUUUCGUGGGGGAUAACGCAGGGAAACUUACGCUAAUACCGCAUACGACCUACGGGUGAAAGCAGGGGAUCUUCGGACCUUGCGCGAUUGAAUGAGCCGAUGUCGGAUUAGCUAGUUGGCGGGGUAAAGGCCCACCAAGGCGACGAUCCGUAGCUGGUCUGAGAGGAUGAUCAGCCACACUGGAACUGAGACACGGUCCAGACUCCUACGGGAGGCAGCAGUGGGGAAUAUUGGACAAUGGGCGCAAGCCUGAUCCAGCCAUACCGCGUGGGUGAAGAAGGCCUUCGGGUUGUAAAGCCCUUUUGUUGGGAAAGAAAAGCAGCAGGUUAAUACCCCGCUGUUCUGACGGUACCCAAAGAAUAAGCACCGGCUAACUUCGUG